rnacentral:rRNA from 1 species
AUUGAACGCUGGCGGCAGGCCUAACACAUGCAAGUCGAGCGCGCGGCGGACGGGUGAGUAAUGUAUGGGGACUGCCCGAUAGAGGGGGAUAACUACUGGAAACGGUAGCUAAUACCGCAUCCUAUCGGAUAACCCAUAUGGGAUUAGCUAGUAGGUGAGGUAAUGGCGCCCCUAGGCGACGCGCCCUAGCUGGUCUGAGAGGAUGAUCAGCCACACUGGGACUGAGACACGGCCCAGACUCCGACGGAGGCAGCAGUGGGGACUAUUGCACAAUGGGCGCAAGCCUGAUGAAGCCAUGCCGCGUGUAUGAAGAAGGCCCUAGGGUUGUAAAGUACUUUCAGUCGGGAGGCGUUACCGACAGAAGAAGCACCGGCUAACUCCGUGCCAGCAGCCGCGGUAAUAC